rnacentral:snRNA from 1 species
GGAUGUGAGGGUGUUCUGGCUUUUGCCUGUUUGAUCUCCAGGGUUGAUUGGGCAGAUGUCAACUUCCUCCCUCAGCAAUUCAUGUGAGUCUCUCCUGAAGCUGCAUAUUGUUUGCUGCAAAGGAUGACCAUCUCCAUGGAGGAGGACCGCCAUGCUUUGGUCAAGGGUGUAAGAUUAGCUGCACUCCUCUGCUAGAACCUCCAAACAAGCUCUCAAGAAAGAGAAGGAAAGGGGAGGAAGGGAAAAAGAAGGAAGAGA